GACGAACGCUGGCGGCGUGCUUAACACAUGCAAGUCGAACGGAAAGGCCCUGCUUUUGUGGGGUGCUCGAGUGGCGAACGGGUGAGUAACACGUGAGUAACCUGCCCUUGACUUUGGGGUAACUUCAGGAAACUGGGGCUAAUACCGGAUAGGAGCUCCUGCUGCAUGGUGGGGGUUGGAAAGUUUCGGCGGUUGGGGAUGGACUCGCGGCUUAUCAGCUUGUUGGUGGGGUAGUGGCUUACCAAGGCUUUGACGGGUAGCCGGCCUGAGAGGGUGACCGGCCACAUUGGGACUGAGAUACGGCCCAGACUCCUACGGGAGGCAGCAGUGGGGAAUAUUGCACAAUGGGCGGAAGCCUGAUGCAGCAACGCCGCGUGCGGGAUGACGACCUUCGGGUUGUAAACCGCUUUCGCCUGUGACGAAGCGUGAGUGACGGUAAUGGGUAAAGAAGCACCGGCUAACUACGUG
rnacentral:rRNA from 1 species